CAGUAGCCACGGGAAUACGGAGGGUGCAAGCGUUAUCCGGAUUCACUGGGUUUAAAGGGUGCGUAGGCGGGCAGGUAAGUCAGUGGUGAAAUCUUCGAGCUUAACUCGGAAACUGCCGUUGAUACUAUCUGUCUUGAAUAACGUUGAGGUGAGCGGAAUAUGUCAUGUAGCGGUGAAAUGCUUAGAUAUGACAUAGAACACCGAUUGCGAAGGCAGCUCACUAAACGCUCAUUGACGCCGAGGCACGAAAGCGUGGGGAUCAAACAGGAUUAGAUACCCCGGUAGUCCCUGUCUCUUAUAC
rnacentral:rRNA from 1 species